GAAUUGACAACUCCCCUUUAAGUUAUUCACAUUAGAAAUCGAGAGAAAUGUCAGCAAACACAUUCUAAACAUGCUCAAUUUUUCUCUCUCCUUAAGCCUUUCUAACUUCCCUGUUAAACCACCAGGGUUUCCAGACCCACCAAGUUUCCUUGGACAAAUAUUUUAUCUCAUGCUGAAGGACAGCAUAUGAAAAAUGAUGCCCUGCAGUACAUAGAAUUCAUAAGCUGUAAG